GGGGCCUCCAGGAACAUGGUUGGGAACCACUGGCUUAGCCAGUCUUUGCUUUAGCAGGAUAGUCAAACAGAAAGAUCCAAUGGGGAAUUUCAAACUGCAACUCAGGUAUAAGGAUUCGAGGACAGAAGGCAGAAGGGCAGGUAGGGGAAUUUAGGUAGGUAGACUGGAGAAGUGAACAAACACAAGAAUGGAGAACUGGAGAAACUGCAACAAGACCAGCCAAUUGUGAUGUGACUGGUGACUGUUUAUAUAGCAUGGGGGAAUGAGGUGAUCAGAUGAAACAAGCUACUAUGCAAAGAGGACUCAAAUUUUUGCCGGAAGCAAUAGUUUCAAGUUACAACUGUCUUGAUUUUUUUGUUUCAUAGAAAUAUGCAGCUUUUAACUUCACAAGACUUUAACUGAUGG